UACGUAGGUGGCAAGCGUUGUCCGGAUUUACUGGGCGUAAAGCGCGCGUAGGCGGCUCUUCAAGUCAGGCGUGAAAGCCCCGGGCUUAACCCGGGAAUAGCGCUUGAUACUGUUGGGCUUGAGUCCGGGAGAGGAUAGUGGAAUUCCCAGUGUAGAGGUGAAAUUCGUAGAUAUUGGGAAGAACACCAGUGGCGAAGGCGGCUAUCUGGACCGGAACUGACGCUGAGGCGCGAAAGCGUGGGGAGCAAACAGG
rnacentral:rRNA from 1 species